GCGUCUGCGGCGCGGCUGUGGAGGGAGGGGAGCGAGGGUAUUCCUUCAGGAGGCGCAGAGCCACGCUGCUGCCGUCCCUUCUCCUGUGUGGUCUUUACCCUGGCUUUACCCACGGUGUUGCUGUGAGGUCUGUGUGCUGCCCUGCCUCACCUCAUGGCUGGCGUUGGCCCUGAUUCCUGUGUCCCUGGGCCUGGCCGUUAAGAGGUUCCGAGCCAGACCUUUAGGCCUCUAGAGCUUUCAGAGCUCAUGGGUGUUAUGACUUGGGCUUGCUGCUGUUUUUGGAGACCUGAAGCGUCGAAGUGCUUUGCACUACCAGAGAGGGCUGGUGACACUCCUGUGGAAGGGACCAGCCUGCUGUGACAGUGUGAGAACAUCAGCAGUGGACAGAAAGUGAAACAAGCUGAACAUCAUGGACUGUUACAGUAAAAUACUUGAUUUACCAUGUGCAAAAAAGAUAUUAAUAUAUAGCCCAAGAGGUGGUAUGACUGGAACAGCAGGAGAGAAAUGAGUACUUAGCGGGAACAAUGGGACAUGAAAUGAGAAAAAUGCAGUGAUUUUAAAAGAAUGCUGAAAGCCACAGUAGAUCCCCAGAAAAGAUGGCACAUCUCAUGAUCUUCUCUGAUGGAAGGACAGCACCAACCUCUCAAACACAUAGCUUUUAUCAGCUCUGCGUGGCCAGAAGCACGACGAUGGUUUUAGAAUAUACCCAUCACCAAGCAAAAAGCAUAGAACAGUGGCAAGACAAGGGCAAAGAAGGAGUAAUUUUCAGUUUCCCUGACAGAGCUGCAUAAAUUGUCAAAAUAAAAGUGCACUUUUCCAUUGACUUUUUUGUACUGGUGGAUUUCCUCCUCUGGUAAAUAAGGAGAGAACAGACUUAUUUUGAAGACAAAAGUCUUUCCAAUUAUUUAUCUAUCUAUGUAAUGUCUCUAUGACACUAAAAAAAAAUAUUUCCUUUAAUCCAUGCUAAACUGUAAUGGCACUACAAGAGUUAAUUAUUUAGAACAGCAGGCUGUAAAAGGAAUGAUCCUGCAGGAAAUGUGGAGUGCAGUAUUUCUUUAGUGAUCUCUGCUUCCAUGGAAACAGUUUCUCAGCACAAUUCUAAAUCUCAUAAAAAUAGGGCACUAGGUCUAUGUAAAACAGCAAGACAUUUCCAAUUAAACAACCAGAAUGCUUUUAUCUAGGCCAUUAAAUACUUUGUUCAGUACCAAAUAUGAUUACAAUGUUCACUGGGAUGUUAACAACCAGCUACUUCCCAUGCGCCGGCUCUGUGGGGCCGGAUGAAGUCACCCUGCAUGCAUCCUGAUGUCCCUCGCCUCCUCAGUGGGGUUCACAGCAACAACACAGCAUGUUUCCUUCCCCUUGCAGAUGCCGAGGUGCGCUGCUCUGCCACACCACGCCUUUCGAGGUGCACUGUACACCUCCGUGCUGCUUGCUUUCCACCUCCAUGGCAUCUCUUUCCCCUACACAACACCAUGUCCUCACAGCUCAGUAAUGCCCGGCAGACCAAAUUCUCUGCUAGCACAGCAGGAAAGAGUUUAUCUGGCUCCUGCUGCUGGCAGAAAUAGAGCAAGAACCAACACACUUGAAUCAAAUUUGGGUAAUGAAUAUAGUUGCUUGAAACCUAGUUUGAUGAUCACCUUCAGAAUUCACUGGAGUUGCCCAUGAAAACAAACCCAUUACAUUACCUACUUUAGUGAUGCUCCAGCCAGGAUUAUCUGUGAAAACAGUGUGGAAAAUACUGAUCUACCAUCCUGGCAUCUCUGCCACAAAGUGCCAUUGGACAAUUUUCUGAAGGAGACUAAAGCAGAGGGUUUGCAAGAACAAAUGAAAGAAACAAAUCUAUACCAAGAUACACGGCUACUGCCCAUAAAAUUUAAUCACUAGCCAGAAGUUUACAUGCACUAGUAAGAACAGUUUUGUGCUUUGUUCAAAGCCUUUUUUGUAUCAGCUGUUGCAAAGCUCCCUCUAGUGGUAUUAAACUUCGUUGAAUCACUUGGUUAUUGUUACUGACUUUGAGUAAAUACCAGAUCUGAUGCUCAAGAGACGAGAAGCUAUUACAAAUGUGGAACACAUCUUUCAAGGUACUGCACACGCAGUUUUUAUUAGUAGACUCUGGCAUACCAUCAGUCAGGAAUAGCAAAGCAGCAAGCAAAAGGAAAAAAGUACUUAUCAAUGGCAACAGUGUUAACUUUUUUUGUUUGGCUGGUUUUGGUUUUUGUUUGUUUGUUUUCCUCAACUGAAUUGUUCUUGGAAAGUUACUUAUUU